rnacentral:rRNA from 1 species
GAUGAACGCUGGCGGCGUGCCUAAUACAUGCAAGUCGAGCGAACAGACGAGGAGCUUGCUCCUCUGACGUUAGCGGCGGACGGGUGAGUAACACGUGGAUAACCUACCUAUAAGACUGGGAUAACUUCGGGAAACCGGAGCUAAUACCGGAUAAUAUAUUGAACCGCAUGGUUCAAUAGUGAAAGACGGUUUUGCUGUCACUUAUAGAUGGAUCCGCGCCGCAUUAGCUAGUUGGUAAGGUAACGGCUUACCAAGGCAACGAUGCGUAGCCGACCUGAGAGGGUGGACGACACCCUUAGAACGGCACCCGGCCCCAGCCUCAGCAGGGGGGCACAAGAGGGGAUUCUUCGGAAAGGGCGAAAAGCCGAACGAAGCACGGCUGGGGGAGUGAGAAAGGUUUCCGAAUCGAAAAACUUUUUUAUUGGGAAAAAAAAAAGUGGAACGAAAAAAGGCGCGCCUGCAGGUCCCCUAAUAAAAAACCAAGGCCAACCUCCGUC